GUCGGGAAUUUUGGGCAAUGGGCGAAAGCCUGACCCAGCAACGCCGCGUGAAGGAUGAAGUAUUUCGGUAUGUAAACUUCGAAAGAAUAGGAAGAAUAAAUGACGGUACUAUUUAUAAGCUCCGGCUAACUACGUGCCAGCAGCCGCGGUAAUACGUAGGGAGCAAGCGUUGUUCGGAUUUACUGGGCGUAAAGGGCGCGUAGGCGGCGCGGUAAGUCACUUGUGAAAUCUCUGAGCUUAACUCAGAACGGCCAAGUGAUACUGCAUUGCUAGAGUGCAGAAGGGGCAAUCGGAAUUCUUGGUGUAGCGGUGAAAUGCGUAGAUAUCAAGAGGAACACCUGAGGUGAAGACGGGUUGCUAGGCUGACACUGACGCUGAGGCGCGAAAGCUAGGGGAGCAA
rnacentral:rRNA from 1 species